GUCCACGCCGUAAACGAUGGGCACUAGGUGUUCGGGGUAUUGACCCCCUGAGUGCCGCAGCUAACGCAUUAAGUGCCCCGCCUGGGGAAUACGGCCGCAAGGUUAAAACUCAAAGGAAUUGACGGGGGCCCGCACAAGCGGUGGAGCAUGUGGUUCAAUUCGACGCAACGCGAAGAACCUUACCUGGGCUAGACAACAUCGGACAGCCCCAGAAAUGGGGUCUUCCCGCAAGGGACUGGUGGUUCAGGUGCUGCAUGGCUGUCGU
rnacentral:rRNA from 1 species